AAGUGUUUUCCGCUUCGGACCAUGCCUAAGUCCCUUGGAAAAGGGCAUCAUAGAGGGUGAUAAUCCCGUACAUGGCAAGGAGCGCCCGUAGCUUUGUGAUACGCUUUCUAAGAGUCGAGUUGUUUGGGAAUGCAUCUCAAAAUGGGUGGUAAAUGCCAUCUAAGGCUAAAUAUUGGGGAGAGACCGAUAGCGAACAAGUACAGUGAUGGAAAGAUGAAAAGAACUUUGAAAAGAGAGUUAAACAGUACGUGAAAUUGCCAAAAGGGAAGGGUAGGAGGUCAGAGAUGCGUCUUGGGAUUCAGCCUUGCUUUUGCAUGGUGUUUUUCCCAAGUUGCAGGCCAACGUCGGUUUUGGGCUCUGGAGAAGGGUAGGAGGAACGUGGCACCUCUCGGGGUGUGUUAUAGCCUCCUACUGGAUACAGCGACCGAGACCGAGGAACGCAGCGUACUCGUAAGAGCGGGCCUUUUGGCACCUUUACGCUUAGGGCGUUGGCAUAAUGGCCCUCUACC
rnacentral:rRNA from 1 species